rnacentral:rRNA from 1 species
UCUGGUUUCUAGUGGCGGACGGGUGAGUAACGCGUGGGUAACCUGCCUUAUACAGGGGGAUAACAACCAGAAAUGGUUGCUAAUACCGCAUAAGCGCACAGGACCGCAUGGUCCGGUGUGAAAAACUCCGGUGGUAUAAGAUGGACCCGCGUUGGAUUAGCUAGUUGGCAGGGUAACGGCCUACCAAGGCGACGAUCCAUAGCCGGCCUGAGAGGGUGAACGGCCACAUUGGGACUGAGACACGGCCCAGACUCCUACGGGAGGCAGCAUG